rnacentral:misc_RNA from 1 species
AGGUGAACCUGCGGAAGGAUCAUUACCAAUAUAGCGAACCGAGCGUUAGCGAGGCUUCGCGAUCAAAUUGUAUUUAAAACCCAACUCUUUAAAUGUAUAUUAUUAUUGUAUUUUAAAUAAUAAAAGAUCACUUUCAACAACGGAUCUCUUGGCUCUCG